AUGCAAGUCGAACGAAGUAGCAAUACUUAGUGGCAGACGGGUGAGUAACAUGUAGGUAUCUUCCCUUUGGUGAGGAAUAACACGAGGAAACUUGUGCUAAUACCUCAUAAGUCUUUACGGAGAAAGCUUUAUGCGCCAUAGGAUGAGCCUGCACUUGAUUAGUUUGUUGGUGGGGUAACGGCCUACCAAGACUUUGAUCAAUAGCUGAUCUGAGAGGAUGAUCAGCCACAUUGGGACUGAGACACGGCCCAAACUCCUACGGGAGGCAGCAGUAGGGAAUAUUGCACAAUGGAGGAAACUCUGAUGCAGCGAUGCCGCGUGAGUGAAGAAGGCCUUUGGGUUGUAAAGCUCUUUCGUCGGGGAAGAAAAUGACUGUACCCGAAUAAGAAGGUCCGGCUAACUUCGUGCCAGCAGCCGCGGUAAUACGAAGGGACCUAGCGUAGUUCGGAAUUACUGGGCUUAAAGAGUUCGUAGGUGGUUAAAAAAGUUGGUGGUGAAAUCCCAGAGCUUAACUCUGGAACUGCCAUCAAAACUUUUUAGCUAGAGUAUGAUAGAGGAAAGCAGAAUUUCUAGUGUAGAGGUGAAAUUCGUAGAUAUUAGAAAGAAUACCAAUUGCGAAGGCAGCUUUCUGGAUCAUUACUGACGCUGAGGAACGAAAGCAUGGGUAGCGAAGAGGAUUAGAUACCCUCGUAGUCCAUGCCGUAAACGAUGUGUGCUAGACGUUGGAAAUUUAUUUUCAGUGUCGCAGCGAAAGCAUUAAACACACCGCCUGGGGAGUACGACCGCAAGGUUAAAACUCAAAUGAAUUGACGGGGACCCGCACAAGUAGUGGAGCAUGUGGUUUAAUUCGAAGAUACGCGCAGAACCUUACCAACACUUGACAUGUUCGUCGCGACUUUAAGAGAUUAAAGUUUUCGGUUCGGCCGGACGAAACACAGGUGCUGCAUGGCUGUCGUCAGC
rnacentral:rRNA from 1 species